GGAGCCCUGGAACCCCCAGGCAGGGCCGGGGACAUUCCUGCACUUUCCCGUUCCAGGCUCCCGCUCUGGGGAUCCAGCCCCGUCGAGGAAGCCAACGGGAAGGAGGAGGUGGAUUCAGAGGACCUAUCACCGAAACUGGCCUUCUUGUGGUUAAUUAAUGCUACCUAAUUAACGCUACCGAGGGCUCAGCCCCUCCUGUGGGGGGACGCGGGACCCAGCCCUCCCUCCGGCAGGAUUUCUCCGGAGUCACCACGUGUCCAGGCUCCUGCUCCAGCGAUCCAGAGGGAUUUAGGAAGGCCCAGGAAGGGGGUGCAGUGCUUCUGUCACCGUAAUUAACCCAGCUGUAGUUAAUUAAAGCUGGAAUCCCCCAGGAAUGCUGAUCUGGGACACUUCCCAUCCCCGGAGGUCCAUCUGGUGUCACCCCCUGUCCAGGGGAGGGUGGUCACCUUGUCACCUGCACCACCCUCCCCGUGCCAGCGCCCUCGUCCCACAGGGAUUUAUCCUGCAGACGUGGAUGGAGGAGCAGCUGGGGCAACGUGGCACUUUCCCUGUGGGAGAACGUGGAUCCAGCUGCACCAGAACCAGGGAAUUAAACGUGAAACCAUGAUUUUUCCAAUUGACAAUUGAGAGCCUUUGUCUCCUUCUGUUUUAGGUCCUGAUGUCCCUGCAGCCCAGUGUCCCUGAGGCCCAGUGUCCCAGUAUCCCUGAAUCCUGAUGUCCCCAGGGCCCUGUGCCCACAUCCUGGUGUCCCCAUGCCUGAAAAACCAGGACAAGUGGGCUGGGAAAACUGGGUGCAGAGUGAGUUUUCCCAGCUGGAAGAAGAUGGCUCCAGUCCCUCUGGGAUCUGGAAAGCUCUCGAGGGGCUGCUCCUGUGCCAGAGCUCAUCAAAUCCUUCAGUUAAUGGAUGGAAUAAUUCAAUUAAUGGGCCAAGUGAUUCAGUUAAUGGGGCAUAUAAAUUAAUGGGUCAAUUAAUUAAUGGAUCGAAUAAUCCAAUUAACGAGUUCAAUAAAUGAAUGGAAUGUUGUAGGGUAAAAA